rnacentral:rRNA from 1 species
AUACGUAGGUGGCAAGCGGUGACCGGAAUUAUUGGGCGUAAAGCGCAUGUAGGCGGUGCCUUAAGUCUGUCGUGAAACUGCGGGGCCUAACCCCGUACGGCGAUGGAAACUGUGGCACUUGAGUGCAGGAGAGGAAAGGCGAACUCACAGUGUAGAGGUGAAAUGCGUAGAUGUUGGGAAGAACACCGGUGGCGAAGGCGCAUUUCUGGACUGUGUUUGACGCCGAGAUGCCAAAGCCAGGGUAGCGAACGGUAUUAGAUACCCCGGUAGUCCUGUCCUUAAACGAUGGGUACUAGGUGUGGGAGGUAUCGACCCCUUCCGUGCCGGAGUUAACGCAAUAAGUACCCCGCCUGGGGAGUACGGCCGCAAGGCUUAAACUCAAAUGAAUUGACGGGG